UCUUAUGGAUGAGCAAAGAGAGUGGUUCUGAGAUGGAAUUCACCCUUGGUGAAGAUGCUGUGAA
rnacentral:pre_miRNA from 1 species